UUCGUCCAAAAAAAUUUGCACUAUUUGGACCAAUUUAGAAUGAAAAUUCUGGUGUGGGGAAUUUGGGUGAAUGCCCCUACAGCAAGGCCAUUGAGGAAAUUACCCACCUAUUUCUGAAAUUUUUUAUUUUACCUUUUUAUUUUUUAAUAAUUCUAAAAUACCCUUCAGAAUAUCAAAAAUAAAUUAAUUUUUUUUCUUCCUUUCACUUCUCACCAGCUCAUCUAUUCUUCUUCCUCACCCUUUCCCCUAAAAAUCCCAUAUUUGAGUUUUCAAGUUUCCCUCUCAUUGGAGCAGAAGCUUUGCUUUGUGCUUGUAGUUUCAAAUUUCAAAGAUAGAUAAAACAAAAAAAAUGGCCAAGUGGUGGUGCUACGAUGCCAACUGAAUAUAUCUGGAAAGCCCUGGUUUAUUGUCAUGGGUUUGGCCACCAUUGCUAUUGUCCCCGAGCUGCUUUGUAACGCAAGAUCCAAGCCAUCCCGAAGCAGAGUAUCGGUAAAAGAUAGAGCCCAGGGGAGAAUCCCUGCCGUAGUGUUCAGCCAAAGCCUCCUGGACAAAAAACCUAGCAACCGAUCAAGGGGUGUGAAAGUGGUGAUAAUGGGAAAAGGUUGCUUGUUAAUGGUAGACAAGGUCAGGAAAUUAACAGUACGGAUUUGGAUCUGAAUAUCUGCAGAGAGGUAACACUCAUCGUAUUUUAUUAUUCACCUUUCUCAUUGAUUCAUUUAACAACAUGAGAUUCUUGUGACUAAAGUAUAGGCAAUGACCUGAAUUUGUUGGAGUCUGUAUGUAAGCAACUUCCUUGUAAAAGGGGCAUUCACCCAAAUUCCCCUUUUGUUAAGUUUCUAUAGCUUUAUUAUGAGACCACACUACUAUAAAUCUAGAUUGGCAUAAUGAUUUAUAGGUUAGAGAGAGAGAGAGAGAGAGAGAGAGAGCUUAAUGAUAUUUCCCCCUUCAUUUGCUAUCAUUUUUUUUCUACCCUUCCAAUUUUUGUUAAUCCCAAAAUACCCUUAUAUUCAAAUUAAAUAUUUUUACUUUUUUUUUUCUGUUAUUUCUUUCUUUUCUUCACCCAUUCUUUCCUCCUUCAUCAUCCUUGUUCAAAAAGACCCCAUUGUUGAUAAGCUCAUAACCCAUCUCCUCCACUGAAUUGAAACAUUGUCGGACUGUUCAUCUUCUUCUUCUUUGUUGGGGUUGCGUUUGAUAAGCUUUGGACUUCUAGGAAGAAGAAGAACAAAUCAGGGGUUGACGAAAACCGCCGUGAAGCUUGGCCACUGGUGCCCACGAGCUUUUCAUUGUUUUUGGAGAAGGAUUUGUAAAGGAAAGAGUCGGUGGAAUGGGUAAAUAUGGUGUUAGGGAAGUUGUGGAAAGUGUAUAGAGGUGGGAUUGAGAAUUGGAUAAUUGGGUUGCUUCAGCCCAUCAUUGAAAAUUUGAAGAAGCCUGAUUAUGUUGAGAGGGUCAAAAUUAAGCAAUUCUCUUUGGAGGAUGAGCGGUUGUCUGUUAGAAAUGUUAAGAGACGGACUUCUCCUCGUGCAAAUGACCUACAGUAUCAAAUUGGUCUCCGUUAUAGUGGAGGUGCCCGUAUGCUUUUAAUGCUGUCACUAAAGUUUGGCAUUAUACCAAUUGUGGUGCCAGUUGGUGUUUGAGAUUUUGACAUUGAUGGGGAACUUUGGGUUAAAUUUGGAUUGACACCAACAGAGCCUUUUGUAGAAGCUAUAAUAUUCUCUAGUUUUUAUUCAUAAAACAAUUGUACAUUUUUCUCUUGCUAAUUCAGAUUUAAUUUUUAGUUUUUCUA